rnacentral:lncRNA from 10 species
CUGGGUCCCUAGACCAUGUUUUCUCUUCUUCAGCAUUGUUCCUUCUCUCUACACAUUGAGCCAAAUAUUUGCACAAAUUUCCUGUCAUCUCAGUCAGACAGUUAUCCCAUAACAGACCAUAAGGGGAGCUAAGACCUCAUUUCACUAGAUAUGGACUAAGACAAAAAAAUAUGUAUUUACUAGAAAACAAAAACAGCACUUUCGGUGGACUGUAAAGUUCCCGAGGGCCAUGAGAAGUAAUAACUGAUGGGCACUGAGCCAGCAGGUAACUGACUGUACAGCUCUGGUUUUGCGGGUGGGGUGGAUGUGUUUGGGAACUGCAGAGGCCAUAGAGACUGUCCGCCCUGGCCCCUCAGUCCUGCAUGCCCUCUGCACUCAGCCUCAGUCUCUCUAGCAGGUGAAAUUCAAGCAAAGAUUUUUAACACAUCAAUUUGAAGGAGUGUCCGAUGCAUGCCAGCCCUGGGUGCCUAGUGUCUUCUCCUGGAUAUGGCUGCAUCAAUGCUCAGGCUGUCAUUCACAACUCCAGGGCCCACCUGGUCUGGGAAGCUUUUCCCAUUUUGUCACUCCCUGGCCAUCCUUCCCUUCUUGGAAGUCCCGAACACUCACCAAGAGCACAUCUGAUGAUCUUCUCAGUUGGGUUUUUGUAUCUCAGUGAAAUAAAUGAUGAACCUCUCAGGGACAAGAACAGCAUCUUGCACCUCUUCCCAUCCCCUAUAGCCCCAGGUCACUGCUAUACUAGGAGACAGGCAAUGAAAUGUGACAUGAGUGAAGGAUAGAGACAAAUGUUCACAAAUUCAGGAAGAAAUCUCAGAGUGUGGGGGAUGAAAGAAGUUAAUUAUUAGCUCACUUUAUCUGAGCUGGCUUGGGUGUGGUCUUGCUUAGAGGACAGGUGAGGUGGCCCAGCCGAUGGUUUCAUGGCACUUCUCUCAUCAGUGGGCUCUGUUCUUCCCAACACACAUGCUGGACUCUCAGAAGGAUGCAUCUCCCUCUGUGCAGAUUUUGCCGUGAAUUACCAGAUAGAGAUCAAUAUUAAGUGUGGUCUCUGCUGACUAAAAGUUGAAGACCGUCUCAGAGUGCCUUGAGGAGAUGGACUUGAUUCCCUAAUAGUGCCUACCAUCCAUUGAAGGGGGAAUUCUUUUGGCAUAAAAAAUUCAAGCAUCCAAGUGGAGGCCCCUUCCCCUCCCCUACCAAAAAACAAAACUUGAAAAAGAGCUCAUUCCCAAAGUUGUUUCUUCAGAAUACAGAACCUACUUGAAACAAAGUUUAACCUUUCUGGGGUUCAAGUUCAUUUAUCCUUUGCAUAUACAACUUCAGCAGCUUCUUUAUUUCUAAGAACAAAGUCUUGUUAAAAGGAAAAAAGUCUCUACAGUCUCCUUGGAC